GGAAGAGAUAAGUGCUGAAAGCAUCUAAGCACGAAACUUGCCCCGAGAUGAGUUCUCCCUGAGACUUUAAGUCUCCUGAAGGAACGUUGAAGACGACGACGUUGAUAGGCCGGGUGUGUAAGCGCAGUGAUGCGUUGAGCUAACCGGUACUAAUGAACCGUGAGGCUUAACCUU
rnacentral:rRNA from 1 species